UCGUGUAAGAUUGAUCUGUCUGUGACAACUGUCACUCUGCUGAUCACCAGUGUUGAUUUGGCAGAUAUGCAUGGCUAGAUAAAUGUACCCCUUCCUCCUUCAUCAUUCAAUGUACCUCCCUCCUGAACCCACUCACUCCACGGAAGAUGAUGACUUUCUCAGACAGAGGAGGACUGCUCUUUAGUCAAGGGUGUAGCAGUAGCUGUGUGCUCUUUUGCAGAACCUCCAAACAGUAAAGAUUUUGAAUCAUAUUAGUCGGGUCGACAUUACUGGGCCCUUUGUCCAAAUAU
rnacentral:snRNA from 1 species